CUAAAAACUUAGCUCUUCUAAACCCUAUGAAUACCCCCCCCCAAAAAAAUAAAAUAAAACAUUUUAUACUUUAAGUAAAGGCGAUAAAAAAAUGUCUAGAAGCUAUAGAAACUAGUACCGCAAGGGAAAAGUGAAAUAAUAAUGAAAAACCUCAAGCACAAUAAAGCAGAGCUUAAGCCUCGUACCUUUUGCAUCAUGGUCUAACUAGUCUAACCAAGCACAAAGUACUUUAAGUUUGACCCCCCGAAACUAGGUGAGCUACUCAAAAACAGCCUCUAGGGCCAACCCGUCUCUGUUGCAAAAGAGUGGGAAGAUUUUUGAGUAGCGGUGACAGACCUAUCGAACCUAGAGAUAGCUGGUUAUUCAGAAAAAGGAUUUUAGUCCUGCCUUAAGUUUCCAAGUACUUUUUAAUACCACACGAACCUUAAGAGUUAUUCAAAUAAGGUACAGCCUAUUUGAAACAGGGUACAACAUCCGC
rnacentral:rRNA from 1 species